UACGUAGGGUGCGAGCGUUAAUCGGAAUUACUGGCGUAAAGCGUGCGCAGGCGGCUUCGCAAGUCAGGCGUGAAAUCCCCGGGCUUAACCUGGGAAUGGCGUCUGAACUACGGAGCUGGAGUGUGGCAGAGGGAGGUAGAAUUCCACGUGUAGCGGUGAAAUGCGUAGAUAUCAGGAGGAACACCCAUGGCGAAGGCAGCAAACUGGUCCAUAUCUGACGCUGAGGCGCGAAAGCGUGGGUAGCAAACAGG
rnacentral:rRNA from 1 species